rnacentral:lncRNA from 1 species
ACACACUCCUGUUAAGCACCGACGGAGCUGCCUGCAACACAACACUGUUCUGGGUGUUUACCUCCUGAUGUGAGGUCAAAGAGGUAGUUCCGAGUACGCGGACGCCGUCCUCACCGGCUCUGCAGAAUCAACCUGGAAGGAGAGUACAACAAUCCUAAGCCAUCCAGACGAACUGUGCAGGUUAUAUGAAUUUUCUAUUUUCUCUCAUAUACAUUAGCCCGUGUGGAAUUUUUUCCAAUGAGUAUUUUAAGUUUUUUGUAUUAUGUAAUUUUGAUUAUGAAUAAAGUCUACAAUUUUUUAAUACAUCAAUCUCCAUAAGCAUCUUUUUGAUACCUAUUGGACACUGUUUAAAGUACCAAUUAGAUACUAAAAUAUAAUUAUUCAGGAUACAUUUGCAACUUUUGGAUGUUACAAUUUUACAUAUCUUUUUUGGCAGUUAUCCAAGUUCACUGCCUUGGACUAUCUAUCAGGGUGUUAGUUUGCUAUACUAACAAUCCUAAAGCCAUUAUCUUUUGCAUAUAUAUUUCUUUUUUUUUUUUUGCUCUUUCUUUUGCUAUCUUUUUUUUUUUUUAUGACCUUCUUAUAUGAAUGUAAAUUAUAUUCAUAUCAACCUCGUUCAAUCUUGCAAAAGUCAUUUUAGCAAGUUAGAGGUUUUUAUGAUACAUUGAAUAUAUCUCUCUCUUUGGACUAUUUUGAUUUAUAAUUAUCACUUGGACUUUUCAAAGAUAUUUUAUUAUUUUAUCUUCAUAUUUCUUUAAUUAUAGUUACACAAUAUAUGUGUUAAUACUAUUGUUAAUAUAAGCUUCUGGAUAUUCUUUGAUAUUCAUGUAUAUUGGUGUUGAACGCCUUUUCCUCUUCUUUGGUUGUAUUUCCCACACUUUCCCUGGUUCCUGAAGGGAUGGUGUCCUUUUCACCUGUCCGGACUAGUCCUGCACCUCCACCAGAGGAAGGCCUAAUAAUUAAAAAAAUUCCCCUUUUGAAUUUCUUACCCCUUUUAUGUUACUUAGCCCAUAUUUUGACUGUCUUAUCUCUUUUUGUGUACUUUUAUCCCCCUUAUGUGUCCUAUAUGCUCUUUAAUCCUCCAUUUUUCCUGUUUGUUUCUUACACGCCCCUUGUGUGUCUCUCCAACCCUUUAUGUGUCUCUAUCUUCCCUCCACCCCCUUUGUGUGUCACUUUCUCCCCCACUCCCUUUGUGUGUCAUUAUCUCUGUCCCAGGCUCCUUUCUGUGUCAUUAUCCCCUUACCCAGCCCCUCUGUGUGUGUCAUUGUCCCUUUCCCCAGCCCCUCUGUAUGUCAAUGUCCCCUUCCACAGCACCUUUUUGUGUCAUAGUCCCCUUCUCCAGCCCCUCUAUGUGUCAUUGUCCCCUUCCCCAGCCCCUCAUUGUUCACUUUCCCAGCACCUCUCUUUGUCAUUGUCCCUUUCAGGCACCUUUCUUUGUAAUUGUCUCAUUUCCAGCCACCCUGUGUCUCAUUGUCCCCUUCUCCAGCCACCCUGUGUGUGUCAUUGUUCCCUCCCCCAGCUCCUCUGUUUGAGUCAUAUUUGCCCCCUUCUCUGUGGUGUCCCCUUCCCAUGCCCUAUUGUGUGCCCUUCUCUCUCCCCCCCCCUUACUUGCCUGCUUACCUCCCUUCAUGUAGCAUGGCUGAGCGGACCACGGUGGAAGAAUUUCUGUUUCCUCUACCCGAACUGACAAGAAGCGGUUCGGUGCUCUCAAGAGAACUUCUUGUUAGACCAGGUAGAGGAUAAAGAUCUUCUACUGUGGAGUGGUCCACUUGGCCACACAACAUGAAGUGAUUGGCAGGUGGGGAAGUGCUGUGUACACCACCCGGGCUGGUGCGCCCUAAGGCAGCUGCCUGUGCCUCCUUAUGGUAGCGCAGCCCUGAGUAGAUAUAAUUUCUGUGUAGUAGAUGCAGUGUCUGUUUAGUGGCUGAAUUGUCUGUAUGUGUAGUGGAUGCAGUAUCUUUGUAGUUGGUGCAGUUUCUAUGUAGUGGAUGCAGUAUCUGUUAGCUGAUGACGUGCAUGUGUAGUGGAUGUAGUGUGUGUCAGGGCCAGAUUGGGGGAAAAAAAUUUGACCGGGGGAUUUUUCAAUCACAGCUGCCCCUUGAGAAGGGGGCGGGGCCAGAGAGGGUGUGUCACUAAUGACUAGCACGCCACCUCUCAAAGUGAGCAGGUUGGUUCAAUGCGCAGAGCUCUGCUGAAGAGCUCUAGCAUGAGAAAAAGGCCCUGUAUUUGUUCUGCGCAGUGCAAGCAAAUUUAAUAACAUGCUUGUGACAACUUUGAAGAAGCUAUAUCCAGAUGAGUCAAGAGAGAACAUCUAAUUGAUAGUCUCAGAGACAUCCAGCUAGCUACAGAAAUCAGCUCUGAAGCAUCUCUGCACAUAACUAAGAUGAUUGCCAAGAGCAUGGCCUUAAAUGUAGCUUCCAGAUGGGCUCUAUUGCUUCAUUUGUGAGGAGAAUACUAUGCAUCUAAUGGUAACCUUUGCUCAUUGCCAUUCCAGGACAAAGAUAAAAGAACCUCAUAUUCAUCAUCAUGGAAAGACAAGAGGUUUUGUGACCAAAUCUUUCAAGAAAAUAGAUCCUACCAUCCAGAGAAAAAAUAUUCUAGAAAUGCAUCUUGGAGAAAUUUUCAGUCAUCCUGCUCCAACUCAAAAUCCUGUACUUCAUUGAAAAGCUUCUGAAGGUUCGCUGGCCCAGCCAGAUCCUAUUGGAGGAAGACUCCUGUGUUUCUUUCCAGUCUGAACCAAACAAAUGUCAGGCAUCAGGAUCCAUUCUUUACUUAUUGUCUGUUACUACUAUUUUGUUGUUUUUUCUUUUUUUCCUCUUUUCUUUUAGUCCUGGUAUGUUUCUCUGAACUGCUCGUUAUGCCUGGGGUAUGAGUAAAACUGCUGUGCGCCGCCCUUUCCCUUUGACGGGAGCUUUAGGUUCCGUGCGCAUGCGUGUCAAGGUCUCUCUUGCGCAGAUACCAUGUACUUGUUAUUUACUGAUUUAUUUCCUACCAUGUUUUUAUAUGUUUGGUAUACCAAUUUGAUAUAUUGAUUGUAUUAUUUUGAACACAUGCUUUGUAAUGAAAUGUUCAAUUGUUUUAUUGAUUGUUUAACUGAUUGGUUGUGUGUAUAUAAAUGCAUUUUCUUCACUGUGGUGUAUGCUUGAUAAAGAUUGAGUUAGGUCGAACCGUUGCAAAUAAAU